rnacentral:tRNA from 2 species
CGGAGUGUAGCUCAGUCUGGUAGAGCGCUGCGUUCGGGUCGCAGAGGUCGUAGGUUCGAAUCCUGUCACUCCGACCA